rnacentral:rRNA from 1 species
UAGGGAAUCUUCGGCAAUGGGGGCAACCCUGACCGAGCAACGCCGCGUGAGUGAAGAAGGUUUUCGGAUCGUAAAGCUCUGUUGUAAGAGAAGAACGUGUGUGAGAGUGGAAAGUUCACACAGUGACGGUAACUUACCAGAAAGGGACGGCUAACUACGUGCCAGCAGCCGCGGUAAUACGUAGGUCCCGAGCGUUGUCCGGAUUUAUUGGGCGUAACGCGAGCGCAGGCGGUUUAAUAAGUCUGAAGUUAAAGGCAGUGGCUUAACCAUUGUUCGCUUUGGAAACUGUUAAACUUGAGUGCAGAAGGGGAGAGUGGAAUUCCAUGUGUAGCGGUGAAAUGCGUAGAUAUAUGGAGGAACACCGGUGGCGAAAGCGGCUCUCUGGUCUGUAACUGACGCUGAGGCUCGAAAGCGUGGGGAGCAAACAGG